UUUCAGGACUGUUAAAACUGUUGCUGCCCAAGUAGAUGGUGCUGACACUCCACCUAAUUUUUCUUAUUAAAAAGUCAAAUUUCCACCAGUUUGUAAAUACAGCCCCACUGAAAUUGUUCCUCGAAACUGCAGCAAUGCAUGGUUCAAAGCCAAACAUUUGUGUUUGCUGAGAACUAAGGAGAAUGACAACAAGAAAAAAAACCUAGAUGAAAAAUGUUGGCAUUUGCCAAAUAAUCCUCCAAACCUCUUCCCCAUCAGUAUUUUCAGUGGAACAAGAGCCUUGUGACCUGUUGUAGCUAUUCCUCCUCUUUUCAUUGCAGUGGGGUUUGCUUUUCUUUUAUUAAAUGAGUUCCUAAUUAACAAAACCUGCAAUUACCCUGACUUUAAUUGAACUAAUGUUAUUAGCUCUUUGCACUAAUUAAUCUCCUUUUUAUUUCUUCCUCUCAGGACCCAGUUCCAAAGGUGGGCAGGGGCUCAGGGGGGCAGUUUCCAUCCUGGAGGCACCUUGCUGCUGUAAAUCCACUGGGACUGCCACCUGAACUGGCAUCCCAAAAGUGCUCAGACAGGAGCAUUUGCUGGCCAUGGCCAGGAAAAGGAUCUUCCUGGCAGGAGUGGGGGCUUGGAGGCCACAAACAGCCAGCAAGGUGGCACAAACCUUCCCCUGCCAUUUCCCAGUGAGGCUGAGCAGCCCAUGCCAGGAUUAAAUUUAAUUCUGGUUGAAGUAGGACACAGGCUGGGCUCUCCUGCCCAGUGCUGGUGCAAGGAGGGGCUGUGAACCCUGUGAUGAAACCACCCCAAAGCCCAGUGUUUUACAGGCAUUUCUCUCAUGGCAGGCUUUGCACAUUAAAUAAAGUUCAUGUUGGCCAAGGCUUUGUGCUUUUGCUUGUACCACUCCCAAGAUUUCCUUUGCUUUAAUUUUUAAUCUUGAUCCUGUUCUUUGCAGAGAGCAAAUCAGUUCAAAACGUGAUGUUUUCUACCAGCAAGUCACAGGCUCAUGAUUUCUCUUCCAGCCUGCUAUCACAGGAAUAAAACCCUUCCAAUCACACUGAAUUUAGGCUGCCUCUUGUCACAGUCAAGUGCAUGGCACCUCCUUGGAACAGGAAGGAUCCUGCUCAACCAGGAUCUCCAUCAGGAUCAGCACCUGCCAAGCCUUUCCAGGUGGGAAAAGCAGGAGAAAUCAAAUGGACCCUGGGAGCCUGGGACUGGGACUGGACACAUACUCAGGUUAGAAAUCUUGCAAUGAAAACAUAAAGCAAACUAAAAAACAAAACAAAACAAAACAAAACAAAACAAAACAAAACAAAAAAAACAACCUGUUUCCAUCCCAUAAAUUAAUACAAACAGAUUUUUUUCUUUUUGCCUGUGCUCAUCUUGAGUGGGAUUUGUAAUGUAAAUAAUUCAAUGAUGUCUCAAUGCUUUUGUCAAAGUCACACAGGAGGGGGAUCCCACUAAUAUGACUUUUUUAGCCAUUUGGAAAUGGGAAAUCUGUAAGUGGCUGAACUGGAUUCCUCUGAGUGGAAAAAGAUUGUCACUGGAGAAUGAUUCAUCCCAUUUAAUCUCAAUGUCUGAUCUCUCUCCAGUGACUAUAAAAGGAAUCCAGAUGACCAGAUUAGCAUAUAUCCAAAUUUUGCACAUUUUUAUGCUAACUCAGCCUUUCCCAAUCAGGUCCUGUACUCAUAAAUAUCCUGUGCUAUUUUUAUAAGGAAAAGCUCAUUAUCUGGCACUGGAUUCCCAGGGCACUCACUCAGCUCCAGUGGCUGCUGUGGGACAGAGCCUGGGCCCUGCCCUUUGCAAAAGCUGCCAGGUAAAACUUGCAGUAAUUCCAUGGUCAAGAUUUCUCUACACUCCCUGCAUUGACUGAAAGGUUCUGAGAGGAUUCUUACAGGAAUUACUUUUUAAUUGCCUUAAAUCAAUAAAUAUUGCAUGGAUGAGCAGAAGGUACAUGAAGAACGGUGAAAAUAGCAGCAGUGAUUAUUCAUUAAAAAUGACACUGUUAUUGUGUGGGUCACCUUUGUAAAACAGGCAGAAGAUCCAGGCAGGUUUUCCUUUCCUUUGGGCUGCUGACCCCACUCAUUUUUGGGUCCCAUUUGUCUGUUCAGUGUUGAUGCUGUGUCACAGUGAGAAAUGAACUGAGCAUUGCAAGUUCUGGGCAGUGACAGCCCCAGGCCUCUCCCCCCUCCCUCCCACCUUUGAUUCUUCACCACUGGCCCUGGAACUGAGCACAGGGCACAGGGACGUGGCUUGGUGCUCUGGGGAUCAGGGGCUGCUUUUAACUCAGUGCUCACAUCAACUCCU